rnacentral:rRNA from 1 species
CCCCAAGGGUUCCUUUGUUACAACUUCACCCAGUCAUGAAUCCUACCGUGGUAAUCGCCCCCCUUGCGGUUAGGCUAACUACUUCUGGUAAAACCCACUCCCAUGGUGUGACGGGCGGUGUGUACAGGACCCGGGAACGUAUUCACCGCCACAUGCUGAUCCGCGAUUACUAGCUAUUCCGACUUCACGCACUCGUAGUUGCAG